rnacentral:tRNA from 1 species
GGGCCGGUAGCUCAGCCUGGAAGAGCGUCGGCCUUGCAAGCCGAAGGUCCCGGGUUCAAGUCCCGGCCGGUCCA